AUAGAGACCGGCGCACGGGUGCGUAACGCGUAUGCAAUCUACCUUAUACAGGGGAAUAGCCCAGGGAAACUUGGAUUAAUGCCCCAUAGUAUCAUUAAGUAGCAUUACUUGAUGAUUAAAGAUUUAUCGGUAUAAGAUGAGCAUGCGUCCCAUUAGUUAGUUGGUAAGGUAACGGCUUACCAAGACAGCGAUGGGUAGGGGCCCUGAGAGGGGGAUCCCCCACACUGGUACUGAGACACGGACCAGACUCC
rnacentral:rRNA from 1 species